rnacentral:rRNA from 1 species
AUUGCCCUAGUAACGGCGAGUGAAGCGGCAACAGCUCAAAUUUGAAAUCUGGCCUCGGCCCGAGUUGUAAUUUGUAGAGGAUGCUUUUGGGUUGUCUGCCGGUCUAAGUUCCUUGGAACAGGACGUCGCAGAGGGUGAGAAUCCCGUAUGUGAUCGGUCAGGCUCCCUCCGUAAAGCUCCUUCGACGAGUCGGGUUGUUUGGGAAUGCAGCCCUAAAUUGGAGGUAAAUUUCUUCUAAAGCUAAAUACCGGCCAGAGACCGAUAGCGCACAAGUAGAGUGAUCGAAAGAUGAAAAGCACUUUGGAAAGAGAGUUAAAAAGCACGUGAAAUUGUUGAAAGGGAAGCGCUCGCAAUCAGUCUCGACUUUGGCUGUUCAGCCGGUCUUCUGACCGGUCUACUCAGUCAUCGCCGGGUCAGCAUCAGUUUUGGCGGCCGGACAAAGGUCGCGGGAACGUAGCUCCCUCGGGAGUGUUAUAGCCCGCGGCGUAAUACGGCCAGCCGGGACUGAGGUUCGCGCUUCGGCUCGGAUGCUGACAAAAUGGUUGUGAGCGGCCCGUCUUGAAACACGGACCAAGGAGUCUAACAUCUAUGCGAGUGUUCGGGUGUCAAACCCCUACGCGUAAUGAAAGUGAACGGAGGUGGGAACCCUCACGGGUGCACCAUCGACCGAUCCUGAUGUCUUCGGAUGGAUUUGAGUAAGAGCAUAGCUGUUGGGACCCGAAAGAUGGUGAACUAUGCCUGAAUAGGGUGAAGCCAGAGGAAACUCUGGUGGAGGCUCGCAGCGGUUCUGACGUGCAAAUCGAUCGUCAAAUUUGGGUAUAGGGGCGAAAGACUAAUCGAACCAUCUAGUAGCUGGUUCCUGCCGA